GCUCCAUUGCAAACCACAUCGAAGGUUUCCCGAUCUCUCCCGGCGACGCCGCAGGCAGGCUCUGGCGCACAGCAAGGCUUUGAAUCAAAUCGAUGGGCGGAGAAGUUCAUCAAGAACGGGGCAACCAGCAAGACACAGGCUUUGAAUCAACUCCGGUCAUCAUGAACAGAAAGAGAAUGCAGCACGGAGAACCAGCAAUCCAGACGGGAUCAUCAAGCAGUGCGCAGGGUGUCUCGGGAGAAGAUAAACGCGCUACACAGAAAUCAAGACACGAAGCACGGUGAUGAUCAGGGAUCACGAUCACGAU